UGGACUUCAGCAAAUGCCAGGGGCCGAGC
rnacentral:sRNA from 1 species